ACGUUAGUGAACCAGGAGCUCAGUGUCAGGAAUUUCAGGGCGAGGUGGCCUGCGCUUUUCAGACAUUACGAGAUCAAUGCAGAGUUACAUAGGCUUAUGGAUGUUCCACUGGAAGACAUGUUCUUUGCACAGUUGGAUGUAUACAUGAGUCAACUAAUCAGAGUAAUCCGUUCCAAAGGAGGAGCAACCCCUGAGAAGACUGCUGCAAUUUUUCACAUAUUGGAUCAGACUGAAAACAUUCACGUGAA